CCUUCGUUCUUCUUCAUUCUUCUCCUAUGGUGAACUCUUCUUCAACCUGUGAUGAGCUCUGUACUUGCCUUUUUUUCCUUUUGUUCUUCAUACGGUACCUUUUUUUUUUUUUUCUUCUUCUGUUUUUUCACUCUUCUUCAACUUACGGUGAUAGAUUUAUAUCUACCUUAUUACUACUUAAAUAUGACGCUAUUGAUUUAAAGAAAAUCUUGUUUUCUGUAUAAAUAUGAGGCUAUGAUUUUUUUUUUAAAUGUAUUACUGUCUACCAUGUUCUUUGGAAAACCAGAUUGGAUUUGUAAAACCAGAUUGGAUGAAUAUGCUUUUAGCCUUAUAUGCAACUCUUUAUUGCUGCCUAAUGCCUUCCAUUUCUUUGGAAAAACGAGAUUGGAUUUAGUAUUAUGGCUUCUGGGCUUAGCUUAUUUUGCAGCUCUUUAUUUAAUUUUUUUUAAUGAAUAUUUGUUUUGUCUAAUGUGUAUCAUUGCAUUUACAGACAUUACACAUUAAAGUAUUAGACAAAGAGACAAAGUUGUCAUCUCUGGAAACAGUUGGUGGUAGUAGUGGGGCUGAAGAUACAAGUAUUGCAUAAUCAAUGAAUGAGCCAAGCAAGGAUCCAAAAGGGAGAGCUAAAUCAGAUGAUCCUGGAUGGAAAUACGGGUACUGACCUGACUUAACAGACAAAAAUUGAAUUAAGUGUACCCUUUGUGGAAAGGAUGUCAAGGGAGGAAUAAAUCGAUUGAAGCAAUAUUUUAUUGGUGGCUAUGGAGAUGUAGCUAAGUGUGUAAAAUCAACGGAAGCAAUUGCUAAAUAGAUGAGAGAUGCAAUCUUGAAGAACAAGAGGAAGAGGACUCUUGGAUGUUUGGAUGAAAUGGGGCCAACAACUUCAACCAAUUCCUUAAAACUCCUUAAUUUUAAAGCAUUAAAUGGAACACCGCUUUUAUAAGCCCAUCUUGCAAACCGCUUCUUCAGGAGUCUUCCUCACAUGCUUAUCCAUGGGACCCCUUACUUGUUGUUUAGGUUGUGUCUGAAUGAUAGCUCUAUUUCUUCUUGAAGUUGUUCCAGAGAUAGGGGUAGGACGAGACCCCCAAAUCGGAUAUUGUAUUCUUUUGUGGUUCCAUUACUUCCAUAGGUGAAAUUCUAUAUCCAUCACUAACAUCCAAAUCAUCCAAACUCUAAGGUUCCUCUUCCUCUUGUUCUUUAAGAUUGCAUCUCUUAUCUCCAUGGCCACCAAUAAAUUGUUGCUUUAAUCGUUUUAUUCCUCCCUUAACAUCCUUCCCAUAAAGGGUACACUUAAUCCAAUUUUUGUUUGUUAAGUUAGGCCAGUAUCCGUAUUUCCAUCCAGGAUCAUUUGAUUUAGCUCCCCCUUUUGGAUCCUUGCUUGGAUCAUUCAUUGAUUGUACAAUACUUGUGUUUUCAGCCCCACUGCUACCACCAACUGUUUCCAUUGAUGAAAACUUGAUCUCUUUGUCUAAUACUUUAAUGUGUAAUGUCUACAACUGCAAUGAUACACAUUAGACAAAACAGAUAUUCAUUUAAAAAAAUUAAAUAAAUAGCUGUAGAAUAAGCUAAGCCCAUAAGCCAUUAUACUAUAUCCAAUCUUGUUUUUCCAAAGAAAUGGAAGGCACUAGGCAGUAGUAAAGAGUUGUAUAUAAGGCUAUAAGUAUAUUCAUCCAAUCUGGUUUUUCAAAGAACAUGGCAGGCAAUAAUAUAUUUAAAAAAAAUAAAUAAAAGAAAAUCAGUGGCCUCAUAUUUAUACAGAAAACAAGAUUUUCUUUAAACCAAUAGCCUCAUAUUUAUGUUGUGAUUGGUUCACUCUUCACUAAUAUUAAGAACCAAACCAAAACAACAUAUUGAAUUAAGAAAAGAACCAUAGGAAUGAUAGAAGAAGGAUGAAGAAGAAAGAAGGGAGAA